GCAGGCCUAACACAUGCAAGUCGAGGGGUAACAUAAGUGCUUGCACUUGAUGACGACCGGCGGACGGGUGCGUAACGCGUAUACAAUCUACCUAUUACUAAGAGAUAGCCCAGAGAAAUUUGGAUUAAUAUUUUAUGGUAUUACGAUUUGGCAUCAAGUUGUAAUUAAAGGUAACGGUAAUAGAUGAGUAUGCGUCCUAUUAGCUAGAUGGUAAGGUAACGGCUUACCAUGGCAACGAUAGGUAGGGGUCCUGAGAGGGAGAUCCCCCACACUGGUACUGAGACACGGACCAGACUCCUACGGGAGGCAGCAGUGAGGAAUAUUGGACAAUGGGAGCAAUCCUGAUCCAGCCAUGCCGCGUGCAGGAAGACUGCCCUAUGGGUUGUAAACUGCUUUUAUACAGGAAGAAAAAGGUGUACGAGUACACUGUUGACGGUACUGUAAGAAUAAGGAUCGGCUAACUCCGUGCCAGCAGCCGCGGUAAUACGGAGGAUCCAAGCG
rnacentral:rRNA from 1 species